AAUAGAUACCCGGGUAGUCCACGCCGUAAACGAUGAAUGCUAGGUGUUAGGGGUUUCGAUACCCUUGGUGCCGAAGUUAACACAUUAAGCAUUCCGCCUGGGGAGUACGGUCGCAAGACUGAAACUCAAAGGAAUUGACGGGGACCCGCACAAGCAGUGGAGUAUGUGGCUUAAUUCGAAGCAACGCGAAGAACCUUACCAGGUCUUGACAUCCCUCUGACCGGUACAGAGAUGUACCUUUCCUUCGGGACAGAGGAGACAGGUGGUGCAUGGUUGUCGUCAGCUCGUGUCGUGAGAUGUUGGGUUAAGUCCCGCAACGAGCGCAACCCUUGAUCUUAGUUGCCAGCACUUCGGGUGGGCACUCUAGGAUGACUGCCGGUGACAAACCGGAGGAAGGUGGGGAUGACGUCAAAUCAUCAUGCCCCUUAUGACCUGGGCUACACACGUACUACAAUGGCCGGUACAACGGGAAGCGAAAGGGCGACCUGGAGCCAAUCCUAUCAAAGCCGGUCUCAGUUCGGAUUGCAGGCUGCAACUCG
rnacentral:rRNA from 1 species